GACGAACGCUGGCGGCGUGCUUAACACAUGCAAGUCGAACGCUGAAGCUCAGCUUUUGUUGGGUGGAUGAGUGGCGAACGGGUGAGUAACACGUGAGUAACCUGCCCCCUUCUUUGGGAUAACGCCCGGAAACGGGUGCUAAUACUGGAUAUUCACUGGUCUUCGCAUGGGGGUUGGUGGAAAGGGUUUUUCUGGUGGGGGAUGGGCUCGCGGCCUAUCAGCUUGUUGGUGGGGUGAUGGCCUACCAAGGCUUUGACGGGUAGCCGGCCUGAGAGGGUGACCGGUCACAUUGGGACUGAGAUACGGCCCAGACUCCUACGGGAGGCAGCAGUGGGGAAUAUUGCACAAUGGGCGCAAGCCUGAUGCAGCGACGCCGCGUGUGGGAUGGAGGCCUUCGGGUUGUGAACCUCUUUCGCUCAUGGUCAAGCCGCAACAAUGGUUGUGGUGAGGGUAGUGGGUAAAGAAGCGCCGGCUAACUACGUG
rnacentral:rRNA from 1 species